UGGGGAAUAUUGGACAAUGGGGGGAACCCUGAUCCAGCCAUGCCGCGUGUGUGAAGAAGGCCUUAUGGUUGUAAAGCACUUUAAGCGAGGAGGAGGGUACUGGUAUUAAUACUACCAGGUACUGGACGUUACUCGCAGAAUAAGCACCGGCUAACUCUGUGCCAGCAGCCGCGGUAAUACAGAGGGUGCGAGCGUUAAUCGGAUUUACUGGGCGUAAAGCGUGCGUAGGCGGCUAAUUGAGUCGGAUGUGAAAUCCCCGAGCUUAACUUGGGAAUUGCAUUCGAUACUGGUUAGCUAGAGUGUGGGAGAGGAUGGAAGAAUUCCAGGUGUAGCGGUGAAAUGCGUAGAGAUCUGGAGGAAUACCGAUGGCGAAGGCAGCCAUCUGGCCUAACACUGACGCUGAGGUACGAAAGCAUGGGGAGCAAACAGG
rnacentral:rRNA from 1 species